rnacentral:lncRNA from 1 species
UAUUGAAAUUACCAAAAUGGACAAAUUAAUAAAAGUUACAAUUACUAUCUACAUUUCAUAUUUAAUAAAGUACAAAAUUAUUUUGUUGAACUAUUAUAAUAAUAGAAAAUUAAUAUAAAUAUGUUAAGGAAUAUUAUUAAAAUUAAAAAAUGUUGUUGGCUUUAACAUUUCAACAACGGCAACACUAGAAAAAAUUUAGUCCAGUUGAAGCAUUUCAGUAUCAACAAAUUCAAAAUUUUAUGAUUUACGCAACCAUGGUAACCACACCUACAAAGGAGGUUUGAAAAUGGUGCAACACCAUCUAAAUUAUGGCACCCUCUACUACGCCGCAAUCAAACAACAACUAAAUAAGAUACACCGUUAUAAAACCAAUAGUGGUGUAGUGGCGUGUGCACCAUCACAAAUCUAGGGAUGACAAUAGGGAAGGGAAGGGACUGACCUCCUCAUACCUUGCAUAUUUUCUCGUCCCCUCUUCGUCCGUAUUAGAAAUGUUCGAGGGAAUUCUCAUCCCCUCCUUGAAUAAUAAUAAGGGAUCUCCGAGGGUCCACAAUUCCCGAAUAACUGAUACAUUUUUAUUUUUGAUUUUAAUUUAAUCAUAUUAAAAUAAAAAUAAAGUUUGACAAUAUGUCUUACAUUAACAUUAGUCCAUUACAAAAGUCACAUUACAAAAUACAAAUCAUCAAAAUAAUUAUCUUUGUCAAUCUUUAUAAUCUUAUAAUAAAAAGGAAGAAAUUACUUUUACAUCAACAAUAAAAUAAAUGAAUUAGAUAUAGAUAUUUGAUUAAUAUUACCUCUUGUGCUCCUCAUGUUCUUCCUCGAGGAAUGUGGCAAAUUCAAAGAUAACCUUAGAUUUCAAAUUUAAAG